GCCGCCGUAGCUCAGUCGGGAGAGCGACCGGCUGAAGACCGGUAGGUCCCGGGUUCAAAUCCCGGCGGCGGCACCA
rnacentral:tRNA from 1 species